AAAAAACAGCUGUUUGCCCUGGCUCCUCAUUGAAGGGUCACUAAGUGAUAGGAUAGGCAACAAUCUAUAUUAUAAUGAUUUCCAGUUUUAUUUGUGCUUUCAGUGGAGCUUUUAUAUGCAACGUAUUAAUUAAAUUGACAGUGUUCUGAGUAGAAGAGCUUGUAGAAGUAAUGUUUAGCAUAGGAGAAUUUACCAAGCUGUCUUUUUCCCUUUUCUCACAGGGAGUCUAAUCUCCAACACUUAUCAGUACUGGAAUUGACAGACUCUGGUGCUUUAAUGGCAAAUAGGUUUGUAUCUAGUCCUCAGACUAUUGUGGAGUUAUUCUUCCAAGAAGUUGCAAGAAAACACAUUAUAUCUCACCUCUUCUCUCAGCCAAAGGCACCUCUGAGCCAAACUGGAUUGAAUUGGCCUGAAAUGAUUACUGCAAUUACGAGUUAUUUAUUGCAGCUUUUAUGGCCUAGUAAUCCUGGUUGUCUCUUUCUAGAAUGUUUGAUGGGAAAUUGUCAAUAUGUACAAUUACAGGUGAGUUCCUUUGAACGUUCACAUCUACUCAUUCUUGUGAAGCAUGGGAUUGCUGGAAAUUUUUUUCUUUGUAAAUGUUAACUGCAGUUUAAAGAACCACAAUAAUUUAAACUUGAUUGUGCAAAGACAUACCCCAAAGAAGUUGUUCUCUAUUUCUAUACCCUCCUGAACUUGCUUGAUCUUGUCUGAUCUUAGAAGCUAAAUAGAAUUGGGCCUGGUUGGUACUUGGCUGAGAGAAUACCUGGUUCCAUAG